UAGAACCCAAGACUGCCAGCCCAGU
rnacentral:piRNA from 1 species